rnacentral:tRNA from 1 species
GCAGAUGUAGUUCAGUGGUAGAACACGACCUUGCCAAGGUUGUAACGCGGGUUCGACUCCCGUCAUCUGCUCCA